UACGUAGGGGGCAAGCGUUAUCCGGAUUUACUGGGUGUAAAGGGAGCGCAGACGGCUCUGCAAGUCUGAAGUGAAAGCCCGCGGCUUAACCGCGGGACUGCUUUGGAAACUGCAAGGCUUGAGUAUCGGAGGGGCAGGCGGAAUUCCUAGUGUAGCGGUGAAAUGCGUAGAUAUUAGGAAGAACACCGGUGGCGAAGGCGGCCUGCUGGACGAAAACUGACGUUGAGGCUCGAAGGCGUGGGGAGCAAACAGG
rnacentral:rRNA from 2 species